rnacentral:rRNA from 1 species
CCCGAAACUAUGCGAGCUACUCCGAGGCAGCCUAUCAAUAGGGCGAACCCGUCUCUGUGGCAAAAGAGUGGGAAGAACUCCGAGUAGAGGUGACAGACCUACCGAGCCUAGUUAUAGCUGGUUGCCUAAGAACUGAAUAGAAGUUCAGCCUUUUGGCUUCUUUCUUCACACAAAUCACCUUAAGAUUUACAAAGAAACCCAAAGAGUUAUUCAAAGGGGGGACAGCCCCUUUGAAAGAAAAAACAACUUUUUCAGAAGGUUAAAAACAAACAUCCCAAGAUCAAAUGUUCGAGUGGG